UUACUACUCCCUUCGUCCGAAAAUUCUUGUCUUAGAUUUGCCAUCACACUAAAAUGUGACUUGAUACAUCCGUAUUUAGGCAAAUCUAAGACAAGAAUUUUGGGACGGAGGGAGUAUGAU
rfam:Triticum aestivum genome assembly, contig: Triticum_aestivum_CS42_TGACv1_scaffold_051123_1BS